rnacentral:rRNA from 1 species
AUACGUAGGGUGCGAGCGUUGUCCGGAAUUACUGGGCGUAAAGAGCUCGUAGGUGGUUUGUCGCGUCGUCUGUGAAAUUCCGGGGCUUAACUCCGGGCGUGCAGGCGAUACGGGCAUAACUUGAGAACUGUAGGGGAGACUGGAAUUCCUGGUGUAGCGGUGAAAUGCGCAGAUAUCAGGAGGAACACCGGUGGCGAAGGCGGGUCUCUGGGCAGUAACUGACGCUGAGGAGCGAAAGCAUGGGUAGCGAACAGGAUUAGAUACCCUGGUAGUCCAUGCCGUAAACGGUGGGCGCUAGGUGUAGGGGUCUUCCACGACUUCUGUGCCGUAGCUAACGCAUUAAGCGCCCCGCCUGGGGAGUACGGCCGCAAGGCUAAAACUCAAAGGAAUUGACGGGG